rnacentral:rRNA from 1 species
UCGGGAAUUUUGGGCAAUGGGCGAAAGCCUGACCCAGCAACGCCGCGUGAAGGAUGAAGUAUUUCGGUAUGUAAACUUCGAAAGAAUAGGAAGAAUAAAUGACGGUACUAUUUAUAAGGUCCGGCUAGCUACGUGCCAGCAGCCGCGGUAAUACGUAGGGACCAAGCGUUGUUCGGAUUUACUGGGCGUAAAGGGCGCGUAGGCGGCAAUUCAAGUCAUCUGUGAAAUCUCCGGGCUUAACUCGGAACGGUCAGAUGAUACUGCUUUGCUAGAGUGCAGAAGGGGCAAUCGGAAUUCUUGGUGUAGCGGUGAAAUGCGUAGAUAUCAAGAGGAACACCUGAGGUGAAGACGGGUUGCUGGGCUGACACUGACGCUGAGGCGCGAAAGCCAGGGGAGCAAACGGGAUUAGAUACCCUGGUAGUCCCUGAGCGGGCUGGCAAGGCGCAU